rnacentral:rRNA from 1 species
AUUGAACGCUGGCGGCAGGCCUAACACAUGCAAGUCGAGCGGAUGAAGGGAGCUUGCUCCUGGAUUCAGCGGUGGACGGGUGAGUAAUGCCUAGGAAUCUGCCUGGUAGUGGGGGAUAACGUCCGGAAACGGGCGCCAAUACCGCAUACGUCCUGAGGGAGAAAGUGGGGGAUCUUCGGACCUCACGCUAUCAGAUGAGCCUAGGUCGGAUUAGCUAGUUGGUGGGGUAAAGGCCUACCAAGGCGACGAUCCGUAACUGGUCUGAGAGGAUGAUCAGUCACACUGGAACUGAGACACGGUCCAGACUCCUACGGGAGGCAGCAGUGGGGAAUAUUGGACAAUGGGCGAAAGCCUGAUCCAGCCAUGCCGCGUGUGUGAAGAAGGUCUUCGGAUUGUAAAGCACUUUAAGUUGGGAGGAAGGGCAGUAAGUUAAUACCUUGCUGUUUUGACGUUACCAACAGAAUAAGCACCGGCUAACUUCGUG